rnacentral:tRNA from 1 species
AGACAGCUUAGUGGGCAAAGCACUUGCCAUGCAAGCAUGAGGAUCUGGGUUCAAAUCCCCAGAGUCUA